AUUGAACGCUGGCGGCAGGCCUAACACAUGCAAGUCGAGCGGAUGAAGGGAGCUUGCUCCUGGAUUCCGCGGCGGACGGGUGAGUAAUGCCUAGGAAUCUGCCUGGUCGUGGGGGCUAACGUCCGGAAACGGGCGCUAAUACAGCAUCCGUCCUGAGGGAGAAAGUGGGGGAUCUUCGGACCUCACGCUAUCAGAUGAGCCUAGGUCGGAUUAGCUAGUUGGUGGGGUAAAGGCCUACCAAGGCGACGAUCCGUAGCUGGUCUGAGAGGAUGAUCAGUCACACUGGAACUGAGACACGGUCCAGACUCCUACGGGAGGCAGCAGUGGGGAAUAUUGGACAAUGGGCGAAAGCCUGAUCCAGCCAUGCCGCGUGUGUGAAGAAGGUCUUCGGAUUGUAAAGCACUUUAAGUUGGGAGGAAGGGAAGUAAGUUAAUACCUGGCUGUUUUGACGUUACCAACAGAAUAAGCACCGGCUAACUUCGUG
rnacentral:rRNA from 1 species